UUGGAGGGCAAGUCUGGUGCCAGCAGCCGCGGUAAUUCCAGCUCCAAUAGCGUAUAUUAAAGUUGUCGCAGUUAAAAAGCUCGUAGUUGAACCUCGGGAUCAAUGGAUCGGUCAUGCCAUCGGUAUGUACUGGUCUCAUUGGUUCUCACCUUCUAAGGAACCAUGAUGUCAUUCAGUUGAUGUUGUGGGGAAUUAGGACUGUUACCUUGAAAAAAUUAGAGUGUUUAAAGCAGGCUAACGCUUGAAUACAUUAGCAUGGAAUAAUGAAAUAGGACAUCGCAUUCUAUUUUGUUGGUUUCUAGGAUCGAUGUAAUGAUUAAUAGGGAUAGUUGGGGGCAUUAGUAUUCAAUUGUCAGAGGUGAAAUUCUUGGAUUUAUUGAAGACUAACUACUGCGAAAGCAUUUGCCAGGGAUGUUUUCAUUAAUCAAGAACGAAAGUUAGGGGAUCGAAGACGAUCAGAUACCGUCGUAGCCUUAACCAUAAACUAUGCCGACUAGGGAUCGGAUGAUGUUGAUUUUUUAAUGACUCAUUCGGCACCUUACGGGAAAC
rnacentral:rRNA from 1 species